GCCGGUGUGGCGGAAUCGGCAGACGCACGGGACUUAAAAUCCCGCGAUAUGAGAGUAUCGUACCGGUUCAAGUCCGGUCACCGGCA
rnacentral:tRNA from 1 species